rnacentral:snRNA from 1 species
UUGCUUCAGCAGCACAUAUACUAAAAUUGGAACGAUACAGAGAAGAUUAACAUGGCCCCUGCGCAAGGAUGACACACAAAUUCGUGAAGCGUUCCAUAUUAAA